CGGCGGCGGCGGGGGCCGCGGCGCCGGGCUCUCAGCCUCCUCCGCGACGCAGAUCAGCUGUUUUAAUUUUGAUUGCUGUUACUACUGAAACCUGGGCCAAAGUGGUGAUGCUGCCUGAGGGAAAUUUCUGCAACUCCUAAGUCAACACUUACACGUUACCUAGUAACCCUGACUGAUCCUCUUUGAUGGUGAUCAUGUUUUAUUGUGGGAAUAUGUUCAGAAGAAUGGAACUCAUAGGAUGCCAGACUUGAUUCGAGGUCAGGUACAUAAGUUACAAAU